rnacentral:rRNA from 1 species
GACGAACGCUGGCGGCGCGCUUAACACAUGCAAGUCGAGCGAGAACCAGCCUUUCGGGGCUGGGGACAGCGGCGAACGGGUGAGUAACACGUGGGUAAUCAACCCUCGGUACUGGGAUAGCCCGGGGAAACCCGGAUUAAUACCGGAUGGCCCUUUGGAUCCUCGGAUCUGAAGGAAAAGGUAGCUGCGGCCUCCGACCGCGGACGAGCCCGCGGCGGAUUGGCUUGUUGGUGGGGUACCGGCCUACCAAGGCGGCGAUCCGUAGCUGGUAUGAGAGGACGAUCAGCCAAACUGGGACUGAGACAGGGCCCAGACUCCUACGGGAGGCAGCAGUGGGGAAUCUUGCGCGAAUGCGGGAAACCGAGACGCAGCGACGCCGCGUGAGGGAAGAAGGCCUUCGGGUUGUAAACCUCUUUCAGGAGGGACGAAGCUACUCGGGUUAAUAGCCCAGAGGGUGACGGUACCUCCAGAAGAAGCCCCGGCUAACUACGUGCCAGCAGCCGCCGUAACAC